rnacentral:rRNA from 1 species
AGGAUUAACGCUGGCGGCGUGCCUAACACAUGCAAGUCGAACGAGGGGGGCAACCCCCGAGUGGCAGACGGGUGAGUAACGCGUGGUCAACCUACCCUAGAGUGGGGAAUAACUAGCCGAAAGGUUAGCUAAUACCGCAUGAUACGUUUGGGACAUCCCAGGACGUUGAAAGGAGCAAUCCGCUCGAGGACGGGACCGCGUCCGAUUAGCUAGUUGGUGAGGUAACGGCCCACCAAGGCUCCGAUCGGUAGCUGGUUUGAGAGAGCGACCAGCCACACUGGGACUGAGAAACGGCCCAGACUCCUACGGGAGGCAGCAGUGAGGAUUUCGCAAUGGGCGAAAGCCUGACGGAGCGACGCCGCGUGUGGGAAGAAGGCCUUCGGGUCGUAAACCACUGUCGAAGGGGACUAUACUGAAGGUACCCUUGGAGGAAGCCCGGCUAACUACGUGCCAGCAGCCGC